UUCAGCAGGCUGAGUGAAAAAUAGACCCGCCAGCUGCCAACCCGCACCCUUCAGAGCACUCCUGCAGGCGGAGCGGUGCUGACCACCCCUCCUUACUACCUGGACUUCAAUUACCAGCAGGGCCAGGGCCAGGUGCACCUAGGGGUGGGCCUGAGGGUCCUAGCAUCUGAGGGUCAAAGACCCCUGGGCCUCCCUUGCCGUUGCUGUGCCGGUCCUGUGCUUCCUUCACCCUCCUGGGACGUGUGUGAUGACACGCGGUCUAGACACCAUUUGUUUUCACAUUCACCGCACACCGGUUGGAAAGUUCGCUGCUGUGUGGUCAUUUACAUAGAGAUGCUUUGCUACCGAGUCCUACCCUCUUGGCAACAGGUGUGUUUGCUUGGAGAUUAAAAGAGCUGAUGGACGACUCUCUCCAAACACGGGUCAUAUCAUCUUAAGUGUCAGUCAUACAUGAAGACGGGAGAUCUGCUUUGAUCUCAGCUGCUGAAGUCAUCACACUGCACUGCUAAUAGAGACUCAGCGAUGAUGUAAAAACUCUGAAGUGUUGGUAUCUAGAUAAAGCAAUUCAAUGGAAAGUCCAGUUACUAGCCCCUUUGUCAAUGCCUGCAUCUCUGUCCCCACGGAGGCCAUGGACACGUGUUCCCGUGUAUAGAACGAGGACAAGGAAAGGUCCAAAGCUCAUCCUGAAGCUGGGAAACAGACCUGAAACCCAAGGACACCUCGUACAGUUUUCCAUCAAGACAGCAGGGGAACCAAGAAUCCUCACUUAACUUAAGCACUGCAGAAAGAACAGGCAAUGAAUGUGUCGGUGGAAAUGCAGUUGAGGAAUUGCACUUGGUCUCAUUUUUCAGCUUAAUGUCCCUGCUCUUUCAUCGUGAAGAUCAGCCGCAUUGUUAUUUUUCC